rnacentral:lncRNA from 1 species
CCGAUUCUAAAGCAGUACUCCUCUCCUCUCUCUCGGCUGGGUCUGUACUCCAGCUUGUUAGCGGGAUUAGCCCUGCGUCUCUGCUUCCCGUUAGCCGGCGCAGGGCAGUUGUAGUAGCAGCCGUUUGAUCCCACCCUGUUCCUCCUCGCUUUGAAACGGCUCGCUUUUCUCCAAUAAGGCAGCUAAUCCAAUGUCACCAGGAGCACCUUCAUGUGAAACCAGCAGCUGCAGGCCAAAAACAAGGUCGGCCGAUCUCUAUACAGCAGGGGGAGAGCGUGAGCGGAAUGAACUGCAUGCUGUUCCUAGCGCUGUUAGUUAUCUCCUAUUUGACGAGACGGCGUCUGGCGCUGCCCGGCUUCAGCUCUUCCUGUGGGCGGUCCCGAGCCGAGCUGCUGCAGAACAACGAGGAAGAGGAUGAGGAAGAGUUUCAUCAUGUGCAGCAUCAUAAACAACUCAGAGAGACCAACUGUAUUUCAGAAAUAACAAUAAAUUGUUGUAUUAUUAUUGAUAUUUCAGAAGCAUGUAGACGUUUUCUGCGUGGAAAAAACAUCAAAUCAUCACAGAAAAAUGCAGCAGAGCACCUGUAGUUUCUUAAGGCAGCUUCAAGGACACCGCUGGCAGAUUUAUAGUAGCACACUAGCAUCUCGCUCCAUUAGUCAUAAUGUAUUUAAUCCCCCCCUCUGAUUUAUCUUUCUCUGAAUAAUCCCGGGCUGCAGGAGGCCGGCGAUAGCUGAUCUCUCUCCUCUCCUUCUGCUCUGGACCUGUAGCCCUAAACCUACAGCUAGCCAAAAGCUAAUGAUUUUCCAAGCUAGCGUAGCAUUGGGUUUCUUCCACAUGGUUGCUCAGACUAGAAAUCCCACACGAGGACACUGCAUUUAAGUGAAAAGUGCAGUUGCUGAGAAGUUCAGCUCAGUCUGAACCCUAUAACCCCUCUGUUCUGCCUGUGUGUGGAGAGAAUUUCAUUCAGGAAUUUACACAACAAGUGUAAUAUAUAAUAUACAGUCAGGAAACUAAAUAUGACCAUCUUUCAGAGGACAGCUGUG